CCAUCAUUCAGUUGGGCACUCUAGCGAGACUGCCGGUAAUAAACCGGAGGAAGGUGGGAUGACGUCAAUCAUCAUGCCCUUAUGACCUGGGCUACACACGUGCUACAAUGGUUGGUACAACGAGUUGCGAGUCGGUGACGGCGAGCUAAUCUCUUAAAGCCAAUCUCAGUUCGGAUUGUAGGCUGCAACUCGCCUACAUGAAGUCGGAAUCGCUAGUAAUCGCGGAUCAGCACGCCGCGGUGAAUACGUUCCCGGGCCUU
rnacentral:rRNA from 1 species